GUUUGAUUGUGUUCUUAUGCUUUGGUCUUUUUAUACUUUCAAACUCAUGUUGUUGAGUAGAAGAGAGUGAAAAGGCCAAGAAUAUCUAUCAGAUUCUAGAUCUAUCUAAUCACUGUUCUGGCAAUCUACCUUUGUACCAUUCGUAGUCUGGGUAUAUAACCCAUAACAUCGGCUCACGAGUGGCUUCGGGAACUCUCCAUUUACGUCGACUCCAGCUCCUCCACUAUUUGCGAUCUCCGAUCAACAUCAACGUCCAUAGAAACUGAGUUGGAUGCCAUCAUUCUAUAAUCUUCUGUACGUUUCCUUCUAUAAUCUAUUCCCUCAAUUACGGGCUGCUUAAUGAGAAGUUCGAUUUGCUGGUCUUAACCCGGUAGACGACAUUGAAGUCUGAGACCUCGAUGAUCGAUUGGACCGGUUUCAAGUACCGUUCGAAAGCUUUCUUUAUCAUUACAGCCUUGACAUUGGCCCUCAGUCUUUGUUUUGUCUCUCGCUCUCCCUCUGCUUCGCACAUGUAGGUUCUCCAUCGAAUUGGACAGAGUGAUAAAGAAAGCGAGAGAUUGCUGGCACCCAUAGAGAAAGUGAUAUUUGAGAAAUUGGGCUCAUUUGAUCAAAUUGGAAUAUCUGAUUGAGCUGGCAUCCUUUUGAUCAAAUCGGGGGAUUCGUUUGAGCAAUCCGAGAUCUUUGAUGGAUUGAGCUCCAGAUAAACUUCUUAUUUGGUUGAUUGGUUUUGAAUUUCAGUGCAUGCAGUUUUGGGUGGUGCAAAUGAAUUUGGGAUGUUCAAUUUUGUUUAGAUUAGCCCUGUUUUCUUCAUGCUUAUGCAGAUAGUUUCAAAAAUUCCAGGUUUGGCCGAAAAUCUCCCAACUGCUGGUAUUUAUUGGGUCUCCAGUUGAUGUGCAAAUCUGAUAUAAAGAGCAUAAAGGUGAGGCUAGGGGCAAUUAAGAAGAAGAGGAACGCUGUACUGAAUACAUGCUGCUGAUCUUCUCAAGAUUGGCCUUGAUAUUAAUGUAUAUAGAAGGGUGGAGCUGGGAGUAGCACAGCAGGUCGAAAAGGCAUGGCUAAUGCUCUAGCAGAUAUGAAAAAAGAUGGUGCUCCACCUUCUGAAGGCCAUCCUACAGUUAACCCAAAGCACAAACCUACUAAAGA